CUCAGUAAGGCCCGCGGAAUUGGCGAACUGUGUGGAAGGAGCGGGAUCUGUAGAGCUCAGCAGCGGCGAGCUCCUGUCAUGGCUUGGCCAGUUCGGGUCUCCCCCUGUAACUUAUGAGGGUGCGGCGAUGUUUUCCCAGAUGUGGUUCCCGUGUACAAAACAAAGAAUCGCUUUGCACAAAGCCAGGAGGGAUACAUUGAAAGAAUUAUCAGAAAAGAAUAAUACAUAGC